UAUUUUUUGUAAAAAAAAAUGAAUUGCAAUUUCAAUGAUCGAAAUAUUAUAAGAACACCCGGACCUAUGUAUGACAAAGCGAAAUUUUCACUUUAGUUUAUCAGACGAUAAAAUGUAAUUUAAUUUAAACGUACAUUUUUUAAAGUGUCAUAUUAAAACUGUUUAACUUCUUAAGAUCAAGAUGAGAUGACACGUGUGCAUAUAUACCAGAGGGAAGACAUUAAUUUAUAAAUAUUCAGUUGUCAUCAAAAGCAAAUGACGAGAUCAGUUUUGGUACCCAGCAAAUUUACAAGAACAAUUGUGGUCUAAAACAAAUGCCUAAACAGUUGUGGUAAACAACAAUUGACAAGAACAGAAAUGAACAACAGCAAUUGACAAGAACAGAAAUGAACAACAGCAAAUGACAAGAUAUGUUAUGGUAAUCAGCUAGUGACCAGAACAAUCGUGAUCAAAAGCAAAAACAGUAGUAAUGAACGGCAGUUGAGAUCAUCAGCAAAUGACUGAAACACUUGUAUCUAACAAAAUAUGAAAUGAACACUUGUGGCUAUCAACAAAACAUCAAGAUCAGUUGUGGUCAGCAACUAAUGAAAUGAACAUUGUGGCUAGCAACAAAAAAUCAAGAUCAGCUGUGGUCAGCGACAAAUGAAAUAAACAUUGUAGCUAGAAAUAAAAAAAUAAAGAUUAGUUGUGGUCAGCAACAAAUGAAAUGAACACUAGUGGCUAGCAACAAAAAUCAAGAUAAGUUGUAGUCAGCAACAAAUUAAAUGAACAGGUGUGGCUAGCAACAAAACACCAAGAACAGUUGUGGUCAGCAACAAAUGAAAUGCGAACAUGCCAAAAUUACUUGUAAAAGGAAGAAAAACAAAUUACAAAACGAUAGGAAAAAUCUUACCUCGAAGUUGAAUAGAUUCAUUAUGAUUCCAUGCUUUUAUUCUUGGAUUAAUUAAAAUAUUAAACGCAAUAUGGGAUUGAAAUCGCUUCUUUUUUUGUAUUAUCAUGUUAACAGUAAUAUUUUAUUAAAUAUCAUUAUUUGAACAAAGUAUUGACAAAAGUGUAAUAAAUUAUAAACCUAGUCUCAGGUAGUCAAAUUUCUCCAUUUAAAUAUUGAUUUCAUUUUAAGUUUUUUUGUAGGAAAUUACAUAUAACUUUUUAUCUUAUCCUGAGUCAGACAAAUACUGUUUCACACGAAUGAACAUGUACAGAAAAUAAAAAUAAUCUGUAACAGCAUAUCUAAUAAGAUUGAAACUUGAUUUUUUUUAAUAAUCAGACACAUUAAUAUAAUACCAUUUGGCUUGUUUUAAUUUUGGUAUUUGGUAUUUCAGUCUUAUAAUCGGGAAAAAGGAUUAUUUCUGCCUAAAACCUUAAACGACUACUAUACAUUGUACAGUUAACAACCAACUGGCAACAACACACGAUUACUAUCUAAUGAAUUAAGGUAAAUUCAUGGUAUACCGCCAUCUUGAGUUGUACAAUCUCAGUACAAAAUUUGUCAAGUUAUUUGCCCGAAUCUGCAAAUUUGGAGACAGAUUUGCAAUUUAAUGGUUAGGUUGUUUAUUUAUAUAAAGAAAACUUGGUUAUUUAUUGUAUUAUUCAAAAUAUUUAAACAAAUAUCAAAUUUUGUGUUUUUAGAAUCAUUGUUUUCAAAUAAGCCAUUUAAGGGUAGAUAACUCUUUUAGUAAAAAAUAUAUACUAGACUGAUAGGGAAAUUUUGUUAUUUUUACUUCAAGCAAGAAAACAAGUUCGUCGACACAAUGUUUUCUUCUUAUUUUUUUAAAACAUAAUAAAAAAAUCAUAAUAAAACCUAACUUCUUAUAAUUUAUUUCAAAAUUCUAUCUCAUAGAAUUUUUUGUAUGUACACAAAUGUGUUUUUUUCAUGAACAAUCUAACCAAAUGUAGGCAAUUUUCAAUUGAAACUUAAAGCUUGGAAAAUAGCACAGUGACCCAUACUUUUUAUUAUAUUUUUGUAAAAAGCAAAUUAAAAUCUUCCUUUUGGCAAAGUAUAAGAAAAUUCUAUCUCAAAAAGUAUAUACUUAUGAUCUACCUUAAAUGAAUUAACUAACCUAUAUACCUAUAUGUAUGGAGUUAUUUUAUUUCGGAACGAUAUAUCAUUCUUUUGUAGAAUCGAACUACUACAGUUUGAUAAAAAAAUCUUUGGUUAUUAAUCGCGUGUUGUUGUCAAUCGGGGGUUUUCUAAACCAUUUUCUAUCUUACAUAUUCAUUACUCUAUCUAUUAGAUUGAAAAACUGGUACAAAAACACGGAAUUAGCGCACAGUUUUGUGAGAUAAAUUAUAUAAUAUUCUAUCCUUAUUCUUUUUUUUUUAAAAAGAGUAACUGUAUUGCCAGGCUUAAAGGGUAACACAAUUAUUCAGAAUACGUUCCUUUAUAAAUUGUUGUUUUUUGCGGAAAAAUAUCAUAAAACCAGAAGAAAAACUUAACACUCCCUGUUCAUGCUGUUAUAAGAUUAUCAUAAAAGAUUACUUACCAAGUGUAUGACUUGUAUAUUAAUUUUCCGAAACAAUUGAUUUAUUUCUUGCUUCGUGCAAUUACAGUAAAAAUUUAAUUGAACUGGACAGUGCUUACUUUUAUUUUAAUAUAAUGGAGUUUUAUUUCACCUUAUAAUUGAGCCGUUGGGCGUAAUAAAACCUAAAUGCCUGAGAAAAAAUAUCCCACUUGAAUGAGAUCGGUAAAAUGUAAUAUAACUUCCUGCAAAUAUGUGCACAAAAUAAAAAUGUUUGACGGUAUAUAAGUCAGAUUAUGCAUAUGUUAAGUUUUUUUUGGUCGUAUUACACACCGAAGAGACUCGGGAUUGAUCAAAAGAAAGACCGACCCGUAAUUUGCAUUUUAAAAAGGAAAAUUUAUAACCUUACACAGGUCAUUAUGUUAUGCCUUGAAGCAGAUGUCAAUGAAACGUGUUAUCGUUCGGGUUGAUUCUGAAAAAAAGAGAGCUACAUAUAGGUAUAAGAAUGUAAGGAAUUCUAUUCAACCAAUAAAUAUCUGAAUAAUUUAUGUAAAAAAUCAAUGUCUUACAUAUUUUUUGAACCCCUGAGUCAUUUUGUUUAUUUCAAUUUACAUUCUGAACAACAUCUUUAAUUCUUAAUACUACUUAGGAAUUAGAGAACAAAGGCCCGGAGGGAACAUAAAAACUAUCGAUCCAAAUUGACUGUUCCAAAUUUGUGCCUCGAAUGCAUGACAAUUUUUAAAGUGUUAUUGUGUGUACCCUCGUAUUAAAUUUUUCUCAAUUUGUACAUUAUCGGAUAGCGUGUAUACAGACACAUAUAUGUUUUGUUUAACAUGUUUAGCAUCCAUAAACUAACAUAUCUUGAUAACCGCAAUUGUCUGUUCCAUCGAAAGACAAGGUCCUCCUUUCAAUAUUGAAAGAACCUUUUAUUUGGCUUUCUAAUAUAAAAAUACUCAUUUUUUUUAGUAUUCCGCUGUUGGAUUGUCAGACCAUUGGGGUGUGGAAAUAUCAGGACUGCCAUGUGCAGCUUUUGCUGUUUUUUCCCACGUAAAAUGUAUAGAGAAGUAGCAUAGACAGGAUGUCGUGUAAUUGAGAAGUACGACGUACAAAACAUUUUAUUGUUUAAGCCAAAUUUGAAGUACAGUCGACGGUUGCUGAAAGGCCUUGAUAAUCGAAUAUUUAUUUUUAAAUUAUUUGUCUACAUCUGCCUAUGUUAAUUAAAAAUUGGUAUAGUUUAAUGUACUGGUGAUUGUAUGUAUUAACCAUUUUUAUGGUGCCUGCACAAUCUGAUUAAAAUAUAUGUCUUU